rnacentral:misc_RNA from 1 species
GGGAGCUUUUUGAGAGAAUCUCUAAUGCAGGGCGCUUCAAUGAGGAUGAGGCUCGCUUCUUCUUCCAGCAACUUAUAUCUGGUGUCAGCUACUGUCACUCCAUGCAAGUAUGUCAUCGGGACUUGAAGCUGGAAAAUACGUUGCUUGAUGGAAGCCCUGCUCCUCGGCUAAAAAUUUGUGAUUUUGGGUAUUCCAAGUCUGCUCUGCUGCAUUCACAGCCAAAAUCAACUGUGGGAACACCUGCAUAUAUUGCACCAGAAGUUUUGUUGAGGAAAGAAUAUGAUGGC